UGCAAUGAGAUCAUGUGUCCUGCAGGAACAUAGAUGGAGCUGGAGGCCAUUAUACUUAGCAAGCUAACUCAGGAAGAGGAAACCAAAUACUGCAUGUUCUCAUAAGUGGGAGCUAAAUGAUGAGGAUACAUGGACACA